AAGUCGUAACAAGGUCUCCGUUGGUGAACCAGCGGAGGGAUCAUUACAGAGUUGCAAAACUCCCAAACCAUCGUGAACGCUACCAAUAUCGUUGCUUCGGCGGGCGGCGCGCCCGCGCCCUCAGCCCCCUCCGGGGGGCCCGCCGGAGACCCAACAAACUCUUGAAUUUUCGUGGCCUCUCUGAGUCUUCUGUACUGAAUAAGUCAAAACUUUCAACAACGGAUCUCUUGGUUCUG
rnacentral:misc_RNA from 1 species